rnacentral:rRNA from 1 species
UACGGAGGGUGCAAGCGUUAUCCGGAUUUACUGGGUUUAAAGGGUGCGCAGGCGGAUAUGUAAGUCAGUGGUGAAAUCUCUAGGCUUAACCUGGAAAUUGCCGUUGAUACUAUAUAUCUUGAAUGCUGUGGAGGUAAGCGGAAUAUGUCAUGUAGCGGUGAAAAUGCUUAGAUAUGACAUAGAACACCUAUUGCGAAAGGCAGCUUACUACGCAGAUAUUGACGCUCAUGCACGAAAAGCGUGGGGGAUCAAACAGG